CCAGUGAACAUUAAACGGCCGCGGUACCCUAACCGUGCAAAGGUAGCAUAAUCAUUUGUCUACUAAUUAUAGACCUGUAUGAAUGGCAAAAUGAGGGUUUGACUGUCUCUUAUAAUCAAUCAAUUAAACUGAUCUACUAGUAAAAAAGCUAGAAUAUCAACAUAAGACCAGAAGACCCUGUGAAGCUUAAACUAAACUAUUAAACCCACUAAUAGCUACUUUCGGUUGGGGCGACCUUGGAAAAAAAAGGAACUUCCAAACACAUGACCUAACUCAACACCAUAAAAGGCUAACAAGCCAAAAACGACCCAGCACAGCUGAUAAAUGAACCAAGUUACUCCAGGGAUAACAGCGCAAUCUUCUUCA
rnacentral:rRNA from 1 species